GCGGGAAAUCUUACCGGGUCCGGACACACUGAGGAUUGACAGGCAAUAAUGUAAAGAGUUGGUUUUAUUUUUUUAAUUCUAUUCUCUUUAUAUACAAAUAUGCUAGUCCUUUCAUGAUUAUGUGAUAGGUGGUGCAUGGCCGUUCUUAGUUCGUGGAGUGAUCUGUCUGCUUAAUUGCGUUUCAUUAUGGACCUGAUAUAUAGUUGCGUGAUUUUCUUUCACUGCUAUACAGCGUCUGCUUGAUCGACAGUUUUUCAUUUGUUUGUAUUUAUUUACUCUCUAUUUGGAAGACUGCUCUGGUCUUCUUUCGUUUGUAGUGUUAAGAGAAUUUGCGUACUUCUGGUCCUGAAAGCAACGAACGUGACCGCAUCCUCUUGUUGCCUCUUACACUUGUACGAUUUUACUUUUUCUGAAUUUAUUCAAAAAUUGUAUUUAUUGUGCUAAUCAAAGAGUGCUUUAUAAAACUAGAGGGACCGCUGAGCCUUUUUUAAACCAGAGGAAGGUUGCGGCAAUAACAGGUCUGUGAUGCCCUUAGAUGUUCCGGGCUGCACACGUGCUACAAUGAUUAUUGCAGUGAGCAUCUCAUAUUAUAGCACUGUAGUCCAACUAGUCUUUUUCUGUUUAUUCAGGAUUUGAUUGGUUGCGCAGUCAAGCCUGCUUCGAAAGUUCGCAGGUAAUCAAUUGGAAGUAAUGAUUUCCCUUAACUCAAAUUAGUUUUUGAUUUUGAAUAAGCACGCAAUAUACUGCUCUCCUCCCGGGUUUCUAGCAAUCUUGUCUAGAUUCCUUAGUGUGUGGAGAUGUUUUUCAGUAUGUGCUUUUGUCAAUUCAUGGUGGGGACAGACCAUUAUUAAUUGUUGGUCUCGGUCUCAACUAGGAAUGCCUUGUACGGGUCUUUGGUUCAACAAACCACCCGGAAUACGUCCCUGCCCUUUGUACACACCGCCCGUCGCUCUUACCGAUGGACUUCUCUGUGAGUUUGAGGGACUGGGCACCUUAGUUUGCUUUUCUUUUUUGAACUGCUUGCUAUAAUCGCCUAUGGAAACUUAAACGAACAGUGUGGUCUAAAGGAAAGAGAAGUCGUAACAAGGCAUCGGUAGGUGAACCUGCAGAAGGAUCA
rnacentral:rRNA from 1 species